AAAAAUAAUAAUUAUGACAUAAGAAAUUGAAAGUAACUCUCAUUUUUGUACAGGUAUAUUUCUUGUUGUGGACAAAUAGCAUAACAUACAAGUGAGGAGUAGAGAUUACCUGAAAGUGUGAGAACAAACAAGUUGAGAUCUUUGUUAGAAAAGCACAAACUAAGAGAGAUUGAGAGAGUAUAAAAUACUAGUAUUACUAUUAGAGAAAGAUUUAUAGAUAAUAUAAAAUGUCAAAUAUGAGUAAAAUGUGUUUACUACUCCAUUAAUAUUUAGAAAGAAAGAAAGAAAUUACUUGAAUAAAAAUGUGUGGAACAAACAGAGAAACAAAGUGAAGCUGUAGAGAGAUCUCCCAACGAAAGACUUAGAGUUAGCACAGCAACAUAUAUUUCAAAGAUGAAGUUUCAUAUGGAUCAGUGAAUUAUUUUUUUUUUGGACGCAAAGAUGAGUGAACAUAGAGGUAGAAAAUGAAGUACCUUUUCGAUACAACUCACAGACCAAAAU
rnacentral:lncRNA from 1 species